GGGUUGGAAGCUAGUAUUCCCCACCCCUGCUCCAUCUAGCUCUUUCCAGUGCAGCCACUGCUGCCGCCCAGGAGAUUCAUCCCCCCCCUUUCUUGUCCCCCUAGUCGUUUCCCGCUCCAACGCCAUGGAGCCGGACACCGCCGCAGUGGCAGCCACCGUGGCAGCCUCGGAUGCGACCGCCACAAUCGUGGUUGUGGAGGACGAGCAGCCCGGACUGUCUACCUUGAAGGAGGAGGGAGCGGCCGCCGAGGCCACCGAAGCCUCCGCGAUCACGGAGAAGGGAGAGAAGGAGAAAAACAUUUCUCCAUUUCAACUCAAACUUGCCGCUCAAACUUCUAAAUCAGGAAAAGAAAUGGACCCAGAAUAUGAAGAGAAAAUGGUAAAUAUACCCUUGAAAUCAGACCGAGCAAAGAGAUUUGAAUUUUUACUGGAGCAGACAGAACUUUUUGCACAUUUUAUUCAGCCUUCAGCACAGAAAUCUCCAACAUCUCCUCUGAACAUGAAAUUGGGACGCCCUCGAAUAAAGAAAGAUGAAAAGCAGAGCUUAAUUUCUACUGGAGACUAUCGCCACAGGCGCACAGAACAAGAAGAAGAUGAAGAACUUCUGUCAGAGAGCCGGAAAACCUCCAACGUGUGUGUUCGAUUCGAAGUGUCCCCUUCCUAUGUGAAAGGAGGACCCCUGAGAGAUUAUCAAAUUCGAGGACUGAACUGGUUGAUCUCUUUGUAUGAAAAUGGAGUCAAUGGCAUUUUGGCUGAUGAAAUGGGUCUCGGUAAAACUUUACAAACGAUUGCUUUGCUUGGUUACCUGAAGCACUACCGAAACAUUCCUGGACCCCACAUGGUUUUAGUUCCAAAGUCUACUUUACACAACUGGAUGAAUGAAUUUAAACGAUGGGUUCCAUCUCUCCGUGUUAUUUGUUUCGUUGGAGACAAAGAUGUGAGAGCUGCUUUCAUUCGUGAUGAAAUGAUGCCAGGAGAGUGGGACGUUUGUGUGACUUCUUAUGAGAUGGUAAUAAAAGAAAAAUCUGUGUUCAAAAAGUUUCAUUGGCGAUACUUAGUCAUUGAUGAAGCUCACAGAAUAAAAAAUGAAAAAUCCAAGCUUUCGGAGAUUGUUCGUGAGUUCAAGUCAACGAACCGCUUGCUUCUAACUGGGACACCUUUGCAGAAUAACCUGCAUGAACUCUGGGCAUUACUUAACUUUUUAUUGCCUGAUGUCUUUAAUUCUGCAGAUGACUUUGAUUCUUGGUUUGACACCAAAAAUUGCCUUGGUGACCAAAAACUUGUGGAAAGACUUCAUGCAGUUUUAAAACCAUUCUUGUUACGUCGUAUAAAAACUGAUGUAGAGAAGAGUCUGCCUCCUAAAAAGGAAAUAAAGAUUUACUUGGGACUGAGCAAGAUGCAACGAGAAUGGUAUACAAAAAUCUUGAUGAAAGAUAUUGAUGUUUUAAAUUCUUCUGGUAAGAUGGACAAGAUGCGACUCUUAAACAUUUUGAUGCAGCUCCGAAAGUGUUGUAAUCAUCCUUAUCUGUUUGAUGGUGCUGAGCCUGGUCCACCUUACACCACAGAUGAGCAUAUUAUCAGCAACAGUGGGAAAAUGGUAGCUCUGGAUAAACUGUUGGCCAGAAUCAAAGAACAGGGUUCAAGGGUUCUCAUUUUCAGCCAAAUGACUCGUUUGCUGGAUAUUUUGGAGGAUUAUUGUAUGUGGCGUGGUUAUGAAUAUUGCCGGCUGGAUGGACAAACCCCACAUGAAGAAAGAGAGGAGGCAAUAGAUGCCUUUAAUGCUCCUAAUAGUAGCAAAUUCAUCUUUAUGCUGAGUACAAGAGCUGGAGGUCUCGGAAUUAAUUUGGCAAGUGCUGAUGUCGUUAUCCUAUAUGAUUCAGACUGGAAUCCACAGGUUGAUCUUCAAGCUAUGGAUCGAGCACAUCGCAUUGGUCAAAAGAAGCCAGUACGAGUAUUCCGUCUCAUUACCGACAACACUGUUGAAGAGAGGAUUGUAGAGAGAGCGGAGAUAAAACUAAGACUUGAUUCAAUUGUUAUACAACAAGGAAGACUCAUUGACCAACAAUCUAAUAAGUUGGCAAAAGAGGAAAUGCUACAAAUGAUACGCCAUGGAGCCACACAUGUUUUUGCUUCUAAAGAAAGUGAGUUGACAGAUGAAGACAUUACAACUAUUCUGGAAAGAGGGGAAAAGAAGACUGCAGAGAUGAAUGAACGCUUGCAGAAAAUGGGAGAGUCUUCCCUAAGAAAUUUUAGAAUGGACCUUGAGCAAAGUUUGUACAAGUUUGAAGGAGAAGAUUACAGAGAAAAACAGAAGCUUGGUAUGGUGGAAUGGAUUGAGCCUCCUAAACGAGAACGCAAAGCCAACUAUGCAGUGGAUGCCUACUUCAGAGAUGCUCUGCGUGUCAGCGAGCCAAAGAUUCCAAAGGCUCCACGGCCCCCCAAACAGCCAAAUGUUCAGGAUUUUCAGUUUUUCCCACCACGCUUAUUUGAGCUUCUGGAAAAGGAAAUUCUUUAUUAUCGGAAGACUAUAGGUUAUAAGGUUCCAAGGAAUCCUGAGACCUCUAAUCCAGCUCUGACUCAAAGAGAAGAGCAAAAAAAGAUUGAUGGAGCAGAACCUCUUACACUGGAAGAGACUGACGAGAAGGAAAAACUACUCACACAAGGCUUUACAAAUUGGACUAAGCGAGAUUUUAAUCAGUUUAUUAAAGCUAAUGAAAAGUAUGGAAGAGAUGACAUAGAUAAUAUAGCUCGAGAGGUUGAGGGCAAAUCCCCUGAGGAGGUCAUGGAGUAUUCAGCUGUAUUUUGGGAGCGUUGCAAUGAAUUACAGGAUAUUGAAAAAAUUAUGGCUCAGAUUGAACGUGGAGAAGCAAGAAUUCAGCGAAGGAUCAGUAUCAAGAAAGCACUGGAUGCCAAAAUUGCAAGAUACAAGGCUCCAUUUCAUCAGUUGCGUAUUCAGUAUGGUACCAGCAAAGGAAAGAACUACACUGAGGAAGAAGAUAGAUUCUUGAUUUGUAUGUUACACAAAAUGGGCUUUGAUAGAGAAAAUGUGUAUGAAGAACUGAGACAGUGUGUACGGAAUGCACCUCAGUUUAGAUUUGACUGGUUUAUCAAGUCUAGAACUGCCAUGGAAUUCCAGAGACGCUGCAACACCUUGAUUUCAUUAAUUGAAAAAGAAAAUAUGGAAAUUGAGGAAAGAGAAAGAGCAGAAAAGAAGAAACGUGCAACUAAAGCUCCAAUGGUAAAAUUUUCAGCAUUUUCAUAACAUUUAGGUAGAGCCCAUUUUUUACAUAGUUAAAUUGCCUAUAUUAUGUAUAAUUCCAUAGUGAUAUCUGUUAUCAACUGGUUUUAUGAAGUGAUAAUUUGUUUUGAAAAGAAAAAGAAUUAUGUCACAACCAUAUGUUUUCUAUUUGUUUGUAGAGCAUAUGGUUAGGAACUCCCUAAUAACAAGGCUCAGUAUUUGAGAAAUUCCUCAUGAAAACUGAAGUAUGAUGCAAGUAAGAGCCUGUGAAUUGAGACUAGGCUACUGUGGGGUUAGGAGAGGAUUAGAGAUGGGAAGGACAGUUUAUGCCAAGGUUGAAACCAGAAAUUCUAAAUUGAUAAAAUAAAUCACCUGGUCUUUGUGAAACCAUGAGGGCGAAUGAGAACCAUGAGCAGACAAGAAAGUGUUACUUGGUAAAAAAGCUAACUGUUUGAUAAUAACUUGAUUUUAAUCCAGCCAGGUUGCUUUGUAUAGCCAUAAUGUAAAAUAUUCUUCAGUGUAUCAUACUACUUGGGUGUGUUAAGUAAACUGCCGUAUUUCAUCAAGUCUAAGGUGCCUUCCAUUUUAAGAUACAGCAUUAUUUUUUGUAUCAGUAAGAAAGAUUGUUGCCAACCGUAAUUUGUUAUCCGUUGUAAAAUGCAUUCUGAUUUCAGAGAUGCUAAAAUGUGAAAGAAAUGUGCAUCAUAGAAGAUAUGAAAUAUGUCACAGAAAAGAAAAGCAGAGUCAGCUACUGAGAGCUCUGGAAAGAAGGAUGUCAAGAAGGUGAAAUCCUAAAGACUAGAAAUAAAGUUUUAAAUGGGAAACUGCUAUUUUCUUGUUCCCAUCUUCAAAUACUAAUUGCCAGUUCCAGUGUAUUCAUGGUACUCUAAGAACAAUCUCUUUGGUUUUGAUUUCUUGCACAUUUUAUAUAUUUUACAAUGCUUUCUACCUGAAAUGUGUAGCUUUAUAUUUUAUGCAUUCUAGUAUUUUGUGUACUGUAUUUUGUGCAUUUCAUGUCUUCAUCAAAUCCCUCUCAGUCCUUGUUUUUCUGAAGCUUGUGCUGAGGUUUUAGCUUUUCUAUGUUUUAUAUGCCGCUGCUUUGAAAGAGAACCUAGAUUCUAUAGCUGUAUUAUUGUUGUUUCAUACUUUAAAUUUAUAUGGCUGUGGAAAAAUAAAUUAAAAUGAUUUGAGGAGAAAGA